rnacentral:lncRNA from 1 species
CAUUUCCUAUAAAAGGAGGCUGAGCGGAUCUGUCACCAUUGCUAUAGACAACUCUCGUGCGAUACCUGCAAAACCUACGUAAGCUCACAAGGUAUAGCCAUGCGGUCAUAUUCGCACAAAAAUAUCUGCGCGCACAAUCGGGAACGAAACCUAAAGCCAUUCUCUUUGUUCACAAGAUCCUUCCAAGUAUCAUAAUAUUCAAGAUUAAAGAUCGUGAAAAACACCUCGGCAUCGCGACGUGAUACGCAAGCAUAUAAGUCCUAUAAUGGAGCAUUGUUCCUCAGCAGCCUCGUUAAAUGCAACACACAUAAACGCGUCGUGGCUUUCAAUUGUGUCAGAUGGAAGCGUCGGUUAGCAACAAGUGGCGUCUGAAGCAGUAGCAACAAACCCAGUAAUACAAUCGCCGUUGGAGAAAGUCAAACGCAGAUGCACUUUCUUGCACUACUGAUCUUUCCAACUCUCAUUACAGUCCUGCAGUGCCAGAGCGUUGGUCGGUCACCAUAUGAAAGCGAAGACUAUGAUAUUAAGAAGUUUGUGCACACGCCGGAGCCCAUCUGGACAUACAACACGACCUCGUACGUCAUGCUUCCCUGUAGGGUUGACGUAAUGUACAAUUUGACGGACCCGUUCAUCCUGUUCCACAGGUCAUAUUUCUCGGGCAUCACCAAAAUAACAGGGCAAAUGAUGGGAGCAUUUAGCCCGGAGCACGAGAAUAGAAUGUUCGUCGGCCCUCAAGGCAAGUCAUGUCACGC